UACGUAGGGGGCAAGCGUUAUCCGGAUUUACUGGGUGUAAAGGGAGCGUAGACGGCGCGGCAAGUCUGAAGUGAAAGGCAGGGGCUUAACCCCUGAACUGCUUUGGAAACUGCCAUGCUAGAGUGCUGGAGAGGUAAGCGGAAUUCCUAGUGUAGCGGUGAAAUGCGUAGAUAUUAGGAGGAACACCAGUGGCGAAGGCAGCGUACCGGCGCCACACUGACGCUGAGGCACGAAAGCGUGGGGAUCGAACAGG
rnacentral:rRNA from 1 species